CACCCAGAAACCCCCAUGAGCGCCGCUUUACGGGCCCAGGCCGCAGGCAGCCGCCCCGGGGGACUGCCGGGGAGCCCGAAGCGGGUUCGGACGGAGGAGGCCCGGGGGCCGCCGGGCAGCCCCGGCUGCAGCUGGAGCGCCGCUGUCCCCUGUCGGGCGCGCGCGGGCAGGAGGAAAGGGGCCUGGGCCCGGGACGUGCAGCGCGGGCUGCUGGGGCGGCGGUGCGGUAAGGGGCCGGGAGGGGGCGCCGCCAUGUCGGAGACGGCAGCAGGAGGGAUGAUGGCGGCGGCGGCGAUGGCGGAGGCGCGGCUGCGGCGGAAGCAGCUGCUGAGCGCGGAGGAGGGGGAGCUGUUCGAGUUGGCGCAGGCGGCGGGUAGCGGACUGGACCCAGAGGUGUUCCGGGUGCUGCUGGACCUGCUGCGCAUGAACGUGGCGCCGCUCGCCGUCUUCCAGGUACUAAAGUCCAUGUGCGCCGGGCAGCGGCUGCCGCCGGGACUCGAGGGCGGCGCCCCUGCGGCGCCGGCUCCGCUCCCCGCCGACACCCGAGAGUCCCCCGAGGACGGCCGGGCGCCCGUGCGGCCCGCCCCCGCCUCGGCUCUGCGGCCGCCGCGGGUCAUGGGCCGCCCGCCGCCCCCCCGGGGCCUGCCCGCGGCCUGCCCGCCGCUCCCCCACGGCCCCCCCGCGCCUCCCGCCGGCCGCGCCGCUCGCCCCGCCGCGGGGAGGGGGCCACGGGCCGGGCGGCUGGGCCCGAGGAGCGGCCCGGCCGGCCCCCGGGGGGCCCGCUCGGUGUGAGCCACGGGGCCGGGCCCGGCGGGGCUUUGCACGGGGCCCUGCGGAGGGGGAGCACCGCCACACCCGGGCCUGGGCCGCCGCGCCCCCUCCCUGCUGCCCGCACUCGUUUUUUCCGAAUUUUUGUUAUUUUCAGGCAGCGUAGGGGGCCGGGCGCGCAGGAGCCGGGCGGAAUGCCGGGGGGGAGGUUGCUGCAGUCCCUUGGGCUGGGUGUGGCAGCCUCCUGCCUCUGCCCUACCAGCCCUUGACAAAAAGAGCCCUUCGUACACAGCAUCAUGCAGUGGUGCGUUGCUUGUAUCUAACUGAAAAAAGUUCCUGGUACAUAAGGAAUCCCUGGAAAAGGGUGAAAACUCUUGUUGUAGCUGAUGGGUCUCUGUUGACCAUGAUGAGUUUAGAGGCAAAACUUUGAAAAGUGAUUGUCAGCAAGGACUGUGCUGAGAACACAGAGAAUGGGUCAAGAAAGGCAAGCUUUGCAGUUAGGUAACCAGAGCAGGGUUGGAGGGGAAAGUAAAGUUUUCCUGUCGUGAUAGUGUAGUACCGCUUAGUCUAGCCUCACUGCUGAGGCUGCCUUGGUGGUACAGGGUGUUCAUUGUCAUGGCUGUGGUUGCACAUCUGGUGGUAAGUGCUAUAGAAAGUAAAGUUGAAAGGCAAGAUUCAUGUGACCAGCUAUAAGCAGUCAAUUUUAGGGUAAGGGUGAUGAUGCCACAACCCAAGGCACCUUCACAGUAGCAGAGGCUGCUGCUUCUGGUGUAGAUUCCCACAUGGUAGGUGGGUGAGAUUCACUUCAUUGAGCAACUGAGCAUGGCUGCACGGGAACUCUGAGGAAGUUUGCUAAAGUCCAAAUGGGAAUUCGAGUUCAUGAAUAAAGUGGCCAGGACUCCAUGGGCUUCACCAUGAACAGGUUCCCCUUUCUCAAGAGAUGCUGCUGAUUAAGAAUUUCCUGCAGAGAACUUGGUUGUGGUACAGAGAACAGCCUCACAUGUGAUUGAGAAGUGACUCUAAAUAUGCACAGGGGAAAAAGAAGACGCCGGCUGACUAGUUUUUCCUGAGCAAAAUGAGAGAGGUAUGGCACUUGAAUAUUUCAAGUAAGAAGCAGCAUGCUAUUCGGUACCACGUUGAAACAUCUCAAAAAAAAGCAGUGAUUUUAAACAAAAGAUGCUGUCAAAUUUUUCUCUCUUCUUCUCCUCCUUCAUUGGUGCUUCAGGUGUGAUGAGCCGCUCAAACUAUGAAGGAACUUUGAAAUAAAACCAGUUCUGCUGUCAGUGGCACCCAGGUUGUAGCAGAAAGGACCAGCCGGGAAGGAUCUGCCCAGAGGACGCCUCGGCAACCAAGUGCAAGCCGGCUGCAGAAAGCAGGAGCUUCUGGAAAGAACAGUGGAGGAGGCAACAGUACCUAAAUAAAGCCUUGGAACCAAUGUCAAGCAUCAAAAUACAAUGUAUAUAAGCCAUGCUUGUUAAAACUGCUUGUGUUGUAUUAA